rnacentral:rRNA from 1 species
UACGGAGGGUGCAAGCGUUAUCCGGAUUCACUGGGUUUAAAGGGUGCGUAGGAGGGCAGGUAAGUCCGUGGUGAAAGCCCCGGGCUCAACCUGGGAAUGGCGAUGGAAACUGGCGGGCUGGAGUGCGGCAGAGGGGGGGUGGAAUUCCACGUGUAGCAGUGAAAUGCGUAGAGAUGUGGAGGAACACCGAUGGCGAAGGCAGCCCCCUGGGCCGACACUGACGCUCAGGCACGAAAGCGUGGGGAGCAAACAGG